GCUCGCCACGUCCCCAGCCCGUCCCGGGCUCCACCUCUCCGUCUAGAGCUCCCGCUGUGUCCUUGUUUGCCCUCGUCUCCCUCAGCCUAUGGCAGCGUCCCUACCUCCUCGCAGGCGCCCGGGUUGGGCCCGCGCCCGCCGCCCCCCUGCCCGCAGGGCUCUCUCCUCAUCCAUGCUAUCCAAGCAACAACAACAACAAAAAAAGCUCUGAGGAGAAAGAAACCCCUCCUCAGCAGGAUUUUGCCCUGAAAUGGGAAAAGCGCCAGCGACUCCAUUAAGCCUCCUGUGCUGUCCUUAUUGAUUUUAUGUGGACAGCAGUCGGAUGCUGUGGGGUGAACAAUCCUCUGAGGCUGAACAAUCCUCUGACUUGCAUGAGGAGGGACAGCUUGUGCUGCAGUGAAACAUCCCCCAGGCUUUCCAUGGGGGGAUCCACGUUAAUUAGCACGUUCUGGGCCUGUGCUGAUGGAUUUCCACGCCACUUUGGUUGGAUUCUGCUGCUUCCAGCUGUCAGGUUUGGGUUCCUCCCAACGCUUGGAUUCAUGGAAUAUCCCUGAACUUGCUGCAUUUGGUGUCAGCCCCUCCACAAAUCCCAGCAGAAGGUGGGAUGGUGGUGACAUUCACGGUGGGAUUCACUCCCCACCCCAAACUGCAGCCUGUCUGUGAGAGUCUGCUCCUACAUCUUCAUAAACAAACAACAAAAAAAAAAUCCCUGAAACAUGGUCUGCUAUAAACAAGCAAAGCAAACAGCUGGUCCUCAUUUAAAAAAAAAAAAAAGAUGUGACAUCAAUUUCCAAACGAAUCUGCAGAUCUUCUUAAUGCAAAUAUUUUUGGGAAAACAGAAAGCAGCUGUUUAUUCUUCUUUAUACCUAUUAGCAGGGAAAAAAAAAAAAAAAAUCCAGGAUGCUUGUAUUUCUUCCUCUAAGAAAAACAUCCUCUUGGCCUUCACAUCCAUUUGCAGCUCAAAUUGUUUGAAAUUUACUGGGCUGCCUAAUUCUGCUAUUGCUGUGCUGCUCCAGCAAGCAGCUAGGAGCUGUUUCUGCUCAAAACUAAAACUACUCCAAGUAGAGUUAUCACUGAAUACUUUACAUGAAUUUUGUGACAGAAAGAGGGAAUUUUAGAACAUUUUCACAUUUAUCAGUUCCUGCCUCCCAGCCCUGAGGAGUGCACGUGCAUUAGAUGUGUGGAUGACUGGAAAAUGAAUGAAUAAUUUGGCCUGUUUAAUGAACAGGUUUGCUUUUCUUAAUUAGCUCCCAGGGAAUGCAAGGACUGGAGGAGGAUCUGGGGACAGCAAAAUAGGAGCCAUUUGAGAUUGUUGCAUUUCACAAAGCAGUUUGAAGGAGGUUAGGCUGAGGAGUAGUGGCAAAGAACAGAAUUUGGAGUCUCUUGAGCCUUCUCAGGUCAUGUGGCCGCUCUCCCAGAUGUGGAAGGAUAAUUUCCCACCUUUGGGUUUGUUUGGUACUGGUUAUUGAUGGAGUUUUACGUGGUUUUGUGUUUCUGUGAAGUAAUACAGCUCCUGUUUUUCCCUGAGAUCAUUCUACUGUUUUCUCUCCUCCCUUCCCAGCUUGGUUUUGUUCCUGCUCUGCAAACACCAGUGAGAGCUGUUCUGUCUGCACGGGCUCCAUUGUGGUGCAGAUUCAUGUGCUGCACUCCUGUUUCUGGCUGUUGUAACCUGACCCAUGUCCAAGCUGUUCACUUCCCUGGAAAUUGGGGUUGUCCUGUGUACACUGAAAGCUUGGCUGGUUUGCCUGGUUAUGUUAAGGAGCAGUCAGAGCUGGGAAUGUUUGUCCAGCCACAAACACCUGGGAUAAUGUGUGGGUGAA